AUUCAGCUGACGAGUCCUAAAUAGGAUGAAACGCGUGUCCUGGAU
rnacentral:hammerhead_ribozyme from 1 species